GAUGAACGCUAGCGGGAGGCCUAACACAUGCAAGCCGAGCGGUAGAGAUUCUUCGGAAUCUUGAGAGCGGCGUACGGGUGCGGAACACGUGUGCAACCUGCCUUUAUCUGGGGGAUAGACCUUCGAAAGGAAGAUUAAUACCCCAUAAUAUUCUAAGUGGCAUCAUUUAACACAGAAAACUCCGGUGGAUAGAGAUGGGCACGAGGAAGAUGAGAUAGUUGGUGAGGUAACGGCCCACCAAGUCAGUGAUCUUUAGGGGGCCUGAGAGGGUGAUCCCGCACACUGGUACUGAGACACGGACCAGACUCCUACGGGAGGCAGCAGUGAGGAAGAUUGGACAAUGGGUGAGAGCCUGAUCCAGCCAUCCCGCGUGAAGGACGACGGCCCUAUGGGUUGUAAACUUCUUUUGUACAGGGAUAAACCUAUUCACGUGUGAGUAGCAGAAGGUACUGUACGAAUAAGCACCGGCUAACUCCGUGCCAGCCGCCGCGGUAA
rnacentral:rRNA from 1 species